rnacentral:rRNA from 1 species
UACGUAGGUGGCAAGCGUUGUCCGGAAUUACUGGGCGUAAAGCGUGCGCAGGCGGUUAUGUAAGACCGAUGUGAAAUGCCCGGGCUUAACCUGGGAACUGCAUUUGUGACUGCAUGGCUAGAGUUUGGCAGAGGGGGGUAGAAUUCCACGUGUAGCAGUGAAAUGCGUAGAUAUGUGGAGGAACACCGAUGGCGAAGGCAGCCCCCUGGGUCAAGACUGACGCUCAUGCACGAAAGCGUGGGGAGCAAACAGG